rnacentral:rRNA from 1 species
AUUGAACGCUGGCGGCAGGCCUAACACAUGCAAGUCGAGCGGAGGAAGGGAGCUUGCUCCUGGAUUCAGCGGCGGACGGGUGAGUAAUGCCUAGGAAUCUGCCUGGUAGUGGGGGAUAACGUCCGGAAACGGGCGCUAAUAUCGCAUACGUCCUGAGGGAGAAAGUGGGGGAUCUUCGGACCUCACGCUAUCAGAUGAGCCUAGGUCGGAUUAGCUAGUUGGUGGGGUAAAGGCCUACCAAGGCGACGAUCCGUAACUGGUCUGAGAGGAUGAUCAGUCACACUGGAACGGAGACACGGUCCAGACUCCUACGGGAGGCAGCAGUGGGGAAUAUUGGACAAUGGGCGAAAGCCUGCUCCAGCCAUGCCGCGUGUGUGAAGAAGGUCUUCGGAUUGUAAAGCACUUUAAGUUGGGAGGAAGGGCAGUAAGUUAAUACCUUGCUGUUUUGACGUUACCAACAGAAUAAGCACCGGCUAACUUCGUG